rnacentral:rRNA from 1 species
AGUGAACGCUGGCGGUAGGCCUAACACAUGCAAGUCGAACGAGUGGCGGACGGGUGAGGAAUACAUCGGAAUCUACGCUGUCGUGGGGGAUAACGUAGGGAAACUUACGCUAAUACCGCAUACGAUUGAAUGAGCCGAUGUCGGAUUAGCUAGUUGGCGGGGUAAAGGCCCACCAAGGCGACGAUCCGUAGCUGGUCUGAGAGGAGGAUCAGCCACACUGGAACUGAGACACGGGCCAGACACGUACGGGAGGCAGCAGUGGGGAAUAUUGGACAAUGGGCGAAAGCCUGAUCCAGCCAUACCGCGUGGGUGAAGAAGGCCUUCGGGUUGUAAAGCCCUUUUGUUGGGAAAGCGGUACCCAAAGAAUAAGCACCGGCUAACUUCGUGCCAGCCGCCGCGGUAAUUC